CUGCUUUUUUUCCCUUAUUGUUAUGAACAGAGGUAUGAUUUUUCAGAAAGUGAACUGGUAGCUUCUCUACGGAUGCAAGUAGUGAGGCAAAUUAUUGUUUAGCUUUUACUGUAUACAUCUGUGCACACAUUUCUGCCAAUGCAUUGUUAGCAUUCAUGAUCCAUCAUCUGAGCAGUCCUGUGUGGAUCAGGAAGAGAGUAGGCCUUUGCUUGAAACACAACUGAUAAGUGAGACUGGCAUCCUUCACCUAUAAGAGGUACAUAUAUCUUGAUCCUUGCCCUUCCACCUUGAAUUUUCCCCAUCCUUUCCUUGCUUGCUGCAUUUUACUAAAGUGAUUUUGUAUCCUCAUGGCAAUAACGGUAUGCUUUCCCUGGGUCAAGCAGUCUGUAGACUGCAAGAUGUUCAGGCCAGGAAUAAAGAUUACAGCACUCUGCAGUGUCCUUCAAAGCUUCUGGCCAAUUUCUUGGGUUUUCCAUUUUCUUAGGUUAUAAAUAACUGCAAAUGUAGUUGCUUCUACCAUCUUCCUUGAUUUACUUCCUUUCUCCAGAAGUGACUGCCAGUUGUUGGACACUAGUUCUAGCCAUUAAAUGAAAAAAAAAAAAUGUAGACUUGAUUUAUCUCUUCCAUUCUUUUUUCCUAUAUUCGGCUUUUUCCACAAAAUGCAACUUUUAGAUAAUGACAUUUUGACUAUUUAAUCAAAGUGGCAGACUUAGUUGCCAACUCCAAUUUAUAUGAUACAUCAUGUGACUUUAAAGAGUUUGUAUGAAAACAGGAUCUCAGUCAAAAUACUGCUUGUGAUUGUACCAUUGUAGACUUCGUCCCAAGGCCUCUGAAGUAAAUUAGGAAAGAACCCUAGCUAUUGUGCAUCUUCUAUGACAUCUACUUCAUAACAGUCACCUAAAAUUUGACAUUAUCCUCAAAAAAAAAAAAAAAAGGUGAAUUAACAACACACAUCUGCAUAACACACAUUUCAUUUUCUUUUAUUUUGUAGAAGCCCUUCUUCCACUGUCCAUUGGAUAGUGUUGGCUCAAAUAAUUUAUGGAGAGGAAGAUACAUAGCCAGUAUGAAACAAGAAAGAUAUAAAUACUAACCUUGGUGCAGGAAAAAAAUGGAAUUAAUACACUAAUGAAAGAACUUUAAUCUAGAGACAUAGUCUCCUGAAUGGACUAAUAAAAAUUUGAUAACCAAAAUUAUCA
rnacentral:lncRNA from 1 species